UACGUAGGGUGCGAGCGUUAGUCGGAAUUACUGGGCGUAAAGCGUGCGCAGGCGGUGAUGUAAGACAGGUGUGAAAUCCCCGGGCUCAACCUGGGAACUGCAUUUGUGACUGCAUCGCUGGAGUGCGGCAGAGGGGGAUGGAAUUCCGCGUGUAGCAGUGAAAUGCGUAGAUAUGCGGAGGAACACCGAUGGCGAAGGCAAUCCCCUGGGCCUGCACUGACGCUCAUGCACGAAAGCGUGGGGAGCAAACAGG
rnacentral:rRNA from 1 species